rnacentral:misc_RNA from 1 species
AACCUAGCACACCUGCGGUGUGUACCUGCGGAGGGAUCAUUACCGAGUGUGGUCCCAUAUAAGGGGCGCCUCCCGUCCUUUGCAGGGCCUUUAGGGGCCUUUUGACUUUGCUUCGGCGGGCUUGCCCCGCCGGAACACCCUCAAGAAAAUCUUUAUGAACCGUUUGUCUGAGUUGCUUGCGAAUAAAAACAAAACUUUCAGCAAUGGAUCU